AUGGUACUGUGGAGCCAGAGAGCAGAG
rnacentral:piRNA from 1 species